rnacentral:rRNA from 1 species
AUUGAACGCUGGCGGCAUGCCUUACACAUGCAAGUCGAACGGUAACAGGUCUUCGGAUGCUGACGAGUGGCGAACGGGUGAGUAAUACAUCGGAACGUGCCUAGUAGUGGGGGAUAACUACUCGAAAGAGUGGCUAAUACCGCAUGAGAUCUACGGAUGAAAGCAGAGGAUCGCAAGACCUUGUGCUACUAGAGCGGCCGAUGGCAGAUUAGGUAGUUGGUGGGAUAAAAGCUUACCAAGCCGACGAUCUGUAGCUGGUCUGAGAGGACGAUCAGCCACACUGGGACUGAGACACGGCCCAGACUCCUACGGGAGGCAGCAGUGGGGAAUUUUGGACAAUGGUCGCAAGCCUGAUCCAGCAAUGCCGCGUGCAGGAUGAAGGCCUUCGGGUUGUAAACUGCUUUUGUACGGAACGAAAAGCCCUGGGUUAAUACCCUGGGGUCAUGACGGUACCGUAAGAAUAAGCACCGGCUAACUACGUGCCAGCCGCCGCCGUAA